rnacentral:rRNA from 1 species
UACAUGGGGUGCAAACGUUGCUCGGAAUCAUUGGGCGUAAAGCGCGCGUAGGCGGCUACUUAAGUCGGAUGUGAAAGCCCUUGGCUCAACUGAGGAAGUGCACCCGAAACUGAGUGGCUUGAGUACGAAAGAGGGUCGCGGAAUUCCCGGUGUAGAGGUGAAAUUCGUAGAUAUCGGGAGGAACACCGGUGGCGAAGGCGGCGACCUGGGUCGAUACUGACGCUGAUGCGCGAAAGCGUGGGGAGCAAACAGG